rnacentral:tRNA from 2 species
GGUAGCGUGGCCGAGCGGUCUAAGGCGCUGGAUUUAGGCUCCAGUCUCUUUGGAGGCGUGGGUUCAAAUCCCACCGCUGCCA